GCCCUUGUAGCUCAGCUUGGAUUAGAGCACUUCUCUCCUAAGGAAGGGGUCGCGCGUUCGAAUCGCGUCAAGGGCG
rnacentral:tRNA from 1 species